AAUACUCUCUCUGUUAUCCCUAACCCCCCCACCCCCCGAAACUCUUCUCCGCCGACUUUUGUUUUCUUCACCGGAAAAUCUUCGAGUUCUUCGCCGGUGUUAUUUGCUUCGAUUACAACUCCGUUUUCUUCUUCUUCAAUCAAAUCUGUGUGUGAUUGCUGUUUGCGCGUCGCCGAAUCUUCAAAAGAGUUUUCGGUUUUUUUUCAUGAUCUGUGAAGAGUCUGAUCUGAUCUAAGCCGUCGAUCUGAGAUAUGGAUAGGAUCGUCGGAGGUAAAUUCAAGCUCGGACGAAAAAUCGGUAGUGGAUCUUUUGGUGAAAUUUUUCUCGCUACGCAUAUUGAUUCAUUUGAGAUCGUCGCUGUCAAAAUUGAGAACAAUAAGACCAAACAUCCUCAACUUCUCUAUGAGGCCAAGUUAUACAAUAUUCUCCAGGGAGGAAGUGGUGUACCACAUAUAAAAUGGUCUGGUGUGGAUGGUGAUGACAAUGUUCUGGUCAUGGAUUUAUUGGGUCCUAGCUUGGAAGAUCUCUUUGUCUAUUGUGACCGGAAGCUUUCAUUGAAGACUGUUUUAAUGUUGGCUGACCAGAUGAUUACCAGAAUCGAAUAUGUACAUUCUAAGGGCUUUCUACACAGGGAUAUUAAGCCUGACAACUUUCUGAUGGGUCUUGGUCGGAAAGCAAAUCAGGUUUAUAUUAUUGAUUUUGGUCUUGCUAAAAGAUACCGUGAUGUGACUACAAAUCGCCAUAUUCCUUACAGAGAGAACAAAAAUUUAACUGGAACAGCACGCUAUGCCAGUUGUAAUACUCAUCUCGGAAUUGAGCAAAGUCGGCGGGAUGAUUUAGAAUCUCUUGGAUAUGUUCUCCUUUAUUUCUUGAGAGGCAGCCUCCCAUGGCAGGGUCUAAAAGCUGCCACAAAGAAGCAAAAGUAUGACAAAAUAUGUCAAAAGAAGUUAUCAACUCCUAUUGAGGUUUUAUGCAAGUCUCAUCCUGUUGAGUUUGCUUCGUACUUCCAUUACUGUCAUUCAUUGACAUUUGAUCAGCGACCUGAUUAUGGAUUCUUAAAGCGCCUCUUUCGUGAACUUUUUACCCGUCAAGGAUAUGAAUUUGAUUACAUAUUUGAUUGGACCAUCCUAAAGUACCAACAGGCACAAACAAGUAAAUCACAGCAUCGGCAAGUUGGUGGUGAAAGUAGCCGAGCAAUUCCAAUGGAUGUUGAAAAGCGUCAAGUUUCUACAGGCAACAAUGGACCUUAUGUUGCUGAGGUGACUGAUCGCAUAAGGCCAAAUAAUCCUUCGAGUCCUGGAAUUCGGAUGCAAUUUAAGUCACCAACAAACAGGAAUUUAACUCCCGCCAAUCUUGAGAGAAAUGUAUUAAGUAGUGCUCAUAUGCCAUCUUCUUCAUUGGCUCCUGUUUUACCAAGAGCAAAUGCCACAAAACCUGUUUUACCCACUGAAACAACACAUGAUGGUGAUAAUGGAGGCAGCAGCUGGAUGUCCUCCUUGCGACGUAUUUCUUCUGCAAAGUGAUAAAAAGGAUAAGAUGAAGAUGAAGUUGGGGCUAAUGUGCCUUCAAAUUGAGCAGCUCAUACUUAUUUUAUGAUUACAAGCUGGUUCGGAUGACUAUGGUGGCUGAUCAUGGCCUGCUGCAAUUUCAUGAGUUCAAGAGGGUGGUGUGAAUUGAGCUGGACAUGAAAGCAGAUGGCAGCUGUUUGUCUAUCUAUGGGAGCUCGGGACCCGUGAGAUGUGGUUUCUGUCAGUGUAAUGGUUCCCUUGGAUUCAAUCAACUCCAGAAGAACAGGAACUAGUGAUUGCGUUGUUUGGUUUGUUGAUUGUGCGAGUGAUCAAGUAUGUAAUGGACAAGUAUUCACUGGUUCCUUGGUUGUACCAUUCUGCCUGAGCUUAUAUUCCUGGUCUCAAGUGUCUUUGCUUCUAGACUUGCUAGGUUCGCGAUGAAAUCAUACUGAAAAACUUUUUGCCUUUGCAACUGUGAUCGAGUAAUGAAGCUAGCCUCCGAAUGACUGACGUAUGAACUGAAUAUCUAGUCCUGUUGGACUUGUCAGGACUUGAGACUGGGAGUUUCGACACCCAAAGUUCGUGCUGAUUUCGUUUUCAGCGAGGCUAUGGUGCUGGAAGAAUAUUUGGUUACACAUUUAAGUCCCAGGUUAUAUAUUAAUCAGUAAGUGUCCGUUUAGCAUUGAAAUAUUCCUCUCAUUAUUUGCAUAACCAAGAAUAUUUAGUUACACAUCUAAUUUUUCUAUAAUCGAAUGUCAGUAGCGGCAAAAAUAAUUU